CUUAGUGUAUUAAUUUUUCCUUUGAUCUUUUGCUAUGAUAAUUUUUCAUGUAAUAUGCUUUUUGCUUCAGAUUAAAAAUUAUUGCUAUAAACCAAAAGCCCACAUGAAGUUGUCAAUGUUAACAUCACAACAUCAUAGGCAAAAUGGAGAUAAACAAAUGAUUAAUGGUCUAGCAAACUUGUGGAUGUUUCGGUAGGACUGAGGCUGAGAAACACCCUCUCAUUAUAAGAAACCAUUGAUAAUCUAUCAUAUUAAACAUGUUAAAUGCAAUCCUGAAGUCUAAAUAAAUUAAGGGAAAAGAAAAUGUCAAACAUUUUCUCUAUAAACUACAUGUACAGUAUAUGAUAAUAACAAUUGCACAUUAUUUAAGAAAUAAUUCAUGGGGGCUUGAAUAUAUCGUGAUUUUACCACGGGUUGGCCCUUUAUGCAAGAUAUUUUACCCUGAGUGAUAGGGGUGGGUAAAAUAUCGGCAUAAAAGGACAACCUGUGGUAAAAUCUAGAUAUAUUCAAGUCCCCAUGAAUUAUUUUGAUUCUAAUAGGACAAAUACAACAAUUCUUUUGGAUCGAAGCGCUCCAGGUGGAGGCAAAUAUUUGCCAUUCCCAUGAAUAAACACACUAUUAAAUUGGCGUAAAAGAACGGAGCAAACAGAAAUAGUGACAUGGUCAAACUAUUCACAGUAACGUAUUUAGGUAGUUUUGGAUUACACCAAAUUUUAGCAUCGUUUGUUUACGUUUCUUUGUUGUGAU
rnacentral:lncRNA from 1 species